rnacentral:rRNA from 1 species
ACUCAAAGGAAUAGACGGGGGCCCGCACAAGCAGCGGAGCGUGUGGUUUAAUUCGAGGCUACACGAAGAACCUUACCUGGGGUUGACAUACCGUUAGUAGGGAAGCGAAAGCUGACCGACCCGUAAGGGAGGCGGUACAGGUGCUGCAUGGCUGUCGUCAGCUCGUGCCGUGAGGUGUUAGGUUAAGUCCUGUAACGAGCGCAACCCUCGGGUCUAGUUACACGAACUCUAGACCGACUGCCCGUGACAAGCGGGAGGAAGGUGGGGAUGACGUCAAGUCAGCAUGGCCUUUAUCUCCAGGGCUACACACACGCUACAAUGGCCGGUACAAUGGGUCGCCAAGCGGUAACGCGGAGCCAAUCCAAUCAAAGCCGGUCGUAGUUCGGAUUGUGGGCUGCAACCCGCCCACAUGAAGUCGGAGUUGCUAGUAACCGCGCAUCAGCCAUGGCGCGGUGAAUACGUUCCCGGGCCUUGUACACACCGCCCGU